AUUGAACGCUGGCGGCAGGCCUAACACAUGCAAGUCGGACGGUAGCACAGAGAGCUUGCUCUCGGGUGACGAGUGGCGGACGGGUGAGUAAUGUCUGGGGAUCUGCCCGAUAGAGGGGGAUAACCACUGGAAACGGUGGCUAAUACCGCAUAACGUCGCAAGACCAAAGAGGGGGACCUUCGGGCCUCUCACUAUCGGAUGAACCCAGAUGGGAUUAGCUAGUAGGCGGGGUAAUGGCUCACCUAGGCGACGAUCCCUAGCUGGGCUGAGGGGAUGGCCAGCCACACUGGAAGUGAGACACGGUCCAGACACCUACGGGAGGCAGCAGUGGGGAAUAUUGCACAAUGGGCGCAAGCCUGAUGCAGCCAUGCCGCGUGUAUGAAGAAGGCCUUCGGGUUGUAAAGUACUUUCAGCGGGGAGGAAGGCGAUGUGGUUAAUAACCGCAUUGAUUGACGUUACCCGCAGAAGAAGCACCGGCUAACUCCGUGCCAGCCGCCGCAGUAA
rnacentral:rRNA from 1 species